GAGGAGUUGUAACAUUGGCUGUUGUGGUGGUGUGCUUGCUAUGGCUAGGCGUGGUUGAUAGGAUGGAAUAUCACCCGAGUCGAAGGGUCGGCGACCAACGUCCGGACUUCUUCGGCGACGUCAUCUUGUCAGCCGGCACGUCACAAAUAGGAAAUUUGGAUCACAUGCAAAUUAGGGUUAAAAUGUUGCGGUUGAAAGCAAUUCGGCCGACGAAUGACAAGAUCGUGAAGAUUUUAUUUUAUCCUACGCAUCGUCAAGGUGUUGAGGACAUCUGCAAUCUGGUUGUCCAGUUUGGGGGGUUUUGAAACACGCAGCCGGAAUUAACAGUUCAUGACUCAUUUCGUCGUUGCCAAAGUCGCUCAAGAAUCAAAUCUUCAAUUGAAGUAUUAUUGGCCCUAAAUGCAACUCAAACUUUUUCAUUCCCUUCAUGUUAUUCUAUGGUUUUCGGGUCUAAUAAACGUUUAAUUUUGUGAACAGAUAUGCUGUGUUUUCAAGGACUAUUCUUCUGUCCCGAAGCAGCUUCAUUGCUCUUUCAUAAUUUCUGCAUUUAUCACAUCAGUCCACCUGGACACGAGAGUCGUUUCUCUUCUGGGAUUUGUACAAGAGUCGUUGCAGUUAGGUGCAUCAGCCAUAUAUCCCGAUGAGCCAGUUCUGUUUGUGGAGGAUCUUUGUGAUCAGAUUCUCAAGGUCCUUAACUAUGUUAGGCUUGGUGCAGUGAUGUGCAUGGAGGCAAUGGCGGGUGCCUACAUUCUUACGCUCUUUGCGCGAGUGUCGAUAUUAUAACGAACCGACCCGAUGCCGACCAAGUUCCUGUUGCGUAGUGCGGACAACUAAUGCAGCUGAUAGUACACUUGCGCGUUCAAGUCAUUUACAGGAAGCAGAAAAUGUAAUUAGAACCAUGCCUGUUAACGUGAAGGCUGAUUCUAUUAUAUGGAAAACGUUAUUAUCCGCUUGUAGAAUAUACAAAAACGCUGACAUGGCGAAAAGAAUCGCGGAAGAAGUCAUACGGGUGGACCCGCAUGACUCGGCGUCAUAAGUUUUAGUAUCGAACAUACAAGCGUCCGCUGAAAAAUGGCACGAUGGAUUUCCGAAAGGCAAUGAGAGAAUUGAGAGUGAAAAAGGAAUCGGGUGUAUGCUGGUUCGAGAUGAAGAACGAAGUUCACCAGUUUUGUAUGAGCGAUAAAUUGCAUCCGGAUUCGGUAAAGAUUAAACUUUAUUUAAAAGAUAUGACAUGAAGUUGUUGGGUUAUAAGCCGGAUUAUGGAUCCAUUUUGCAUGAUAUGGAUCUUGAGAAGGAAGAUGAUUUGGGUCAACAUAGUGAGAAGUUGGUGAUUGCUUUUGCGUUGAUGAACACUGCGGAUUGUGUUCCGAUUAGGAUUAUGAAGAAUUUACGGGUGUGUAACGAUUGUUAUGUCGCGAUUAAGUAUAUUUCCGCGAUAAAAAAGCGGGAUAUUAUUGUUCGUGAUGUUGAUGUGGAGAUUACUGGUAAGAUGUUAUAGUAUUCAAUUAUUUCUGUAUGUUUCAUUUGUUUCCAUGAUUUUGAUUUGAAGUGUUAAUGUUAACCUUCUUUAGUUGACAAAUGAGCUAGCAUACACGUCUCAUCUUUUAAGAGACAAACAUUUUGAAUAAUGUAGGUUAAAAUUCUUGUUUGAAGGUGUGUUAAAGUUA